AAUGAAUAAUGGAAGCAAGACAUUUGAGUCAUAACGAAAAAAGGACAGGACCUGUUGCCUAUUCCUUUCUAUAUUCCCUUCUUUAACUACAUAUGUAUUAACAAAUAAGAAUUAAAAGCAUCCAGUUUUUGUCUCACUAAGUGACCUUGGGAGCUCCCCCCCAUCCUCUUCUCCUCUCUCUAAGAGGACCUGCUGUUCAUAUAAAGCAUACCCUGCUAUGUCUGCAGAGAUUAAUGUUGAUGGUAUGUGGCA
rnacentral:lncRNA from 1 species